rfam:Ceraceosorus bombacis genome assembly, contig: Scaffold_255
GUCGUUAUAGGGCAGUGGUUACCCCGUGGGCCUGCUAAUAUUGGAAACUUAGCAUCAAGCCUUCGCUUGAGUAAGCUCAUGCCUUCGGGCGCGACGGUUCGAAUCCGUCUGACGACG